UACCAGCACCCCGAGUGGUCGGGACGUUUAUUGGGCCUAAAGCAUCCGUAGCCGGUUCUACAAGUCUUCCGUUAAAUCCAGCUGCUUAACAGAUGGGCUGCGGAAGAUACUAUGGAGCUAGGAGGCGGGAGAGGCAAGCGGUACUCGAGUGGGUAGGGGUAAAAUCCGUUGAUCCAUUGAAGACCACCAGUGGCGAAGGCGGCUUGCCAGAACGCGCUCGACGGUGAGGGAUGAAAGCUGGGGA
rnacentral:rRNA from 1 species